UUAUGCUGAUAAGAGCGUAUGGUGGAUGCCUUGGCACUAAGAGCCGAUGAAAGACGUGAUAAGCUGCGAAAAGCUUCGGGGAGGAGCAAAUAUCCUUUGAUCCGGAGAUUUCUGAAUGGGGAAACCUACUUGAGCAAACCUCAAGUAUCCUUAAGCCAAUACAUAACUUAAGGAAGGGAACCCGGUGAACUGAAACAUCUAAGUAGCCGGAGGAAGAGAAAGAAACAUCGAUUCUGUGAGUAGCGGCGAGCGAAAACGGAAGAGCCCAAACCAGCGUGCGUGCAUGCUGGGGUUCGGACCGCGGAAUUGAUUCAACGAGUUUAGCAGAACGGUUUUGGGAAAGCCGGCCAGAGAGGGUGAAAGCCCCGUACGUGAAAGCUGAUGAGACUGAGCAGGAUCCAGAGUACCACGAGACACGAGAAACCUUGUGGGAAUGAGCGGGGACCACCCCGUAAGGCUAAAUACUCCUUAGUGACCGAUAGCGCAUAGUACUGUGAAGGAAAGGUGAAAAGGACCCCGGGAGGGGAGUGAAAGAGAACCUGAAACCCUGUGUUUACAAGCUGUGGAAGUAUCGAAAGGGUACAACCGCGUACUUUUUGUAGAACGGUCCGGCGAGUUACGCUGGCUGGCGAGGUUAAGGACUAAAGGUCCGGAGCCGAAGGGAAACCAAGUCUUAAUAGGGCGUCCAGUCAGCCGGAGUAGACCCGAAACCGGGUGAUCUAUCCAUGUCCAGGUUGAAGUUGCCGUAAAAGGCAAUGGAGGACCGAACCCACAUCCGUUGAAAAGGGUGGGGAUGAGGUGUGGAUAGGGGAGAAAUUCCAAUCGAACCCGGAGAUAGCUGGUUCUCCUCGAAAUAGCUUUAGGGCUAGCCUCAAUUUAGUCUUGCGGAGGUAGAGCACUGAAUUUCCUAGGGGGCGUCAAAGCCUACCGAAGAAUAUCAAACUCCGAAUGCCGUGUAAUUGCUUACCAGGAGUCAGACUGCACGAGAUAAGUUGGGUAGUCAAAAGGGAAAGAGCCCAGACCUACAGCUAAGGUCCCAAAAUGUGUGUUAAGUGGAAAAGGAUGUGGGAUUUCGAAGACAACUAGGAUGUUGGCUCAGAAGCAGCCAUUCAUUCAAAGAGUGCGUAAUAGCUCACUAGUCGAGAGGUCCUGCGCCGAAAAUGUCCGGGGCUGAAACACACUACCGAAGCUUGGGAAUUGACGAAUGUUAAUUGGUAGAGGAGCAUUCUUAACGGGGCGAAGCUGUACCGGAAGGAGCAGUGGACUGUUAAGAAGAGAGAAUGCCGGAAUGAGUAGCGAGAGGAAGGUGAGAAUCCUUCCGGCCGAAUAUCUAAGGUUUCCAGAGUAAAGCUGAUCUGCUCUGGGUAAGUCGGGGCCUAAGGCGAGGUCGAAAGACGUAGUCGAUGGAUAACAGGUUGAAAUUCCUGUACCGCAUAUAAACAGAACUGUGGGGACGCAUGUGGAGAGCACGAGCCGGGAAAGAGAAAACCGGUACAAGCGGGGUAGGAGUAAGGACAGCAAAUCUUCCUUACAAUCCGAAGACGUGAUGUGGACUGAAAAUAAGUAGGGAAGCACGUGAGCUGACUGUCAAGAAAAGCCGCUAUUGUUUAUACCGUACCCGUACCGUAAACCGACACAGGUGGAUGAGGAGAGAAUCCUAAGGCCGGCGGGAGAAGCAUUGUUAAGGAACUCGGCAAAAUGACCCCGUAACUUCGGGAGAAGGGGUGCCUGCGAGAGCAGGCCGCAGAGAAUAGGCUCAAGCAACUGUUUAGCAAAAACACAGGUCUAUGCGAAACCGAAAGGUGAGGUAUAUGGGCUGACGCCUGCCCGGUGCUGGAAGGUUAAGAGGAGAGGUUAGCGCAAGCGAAGCUUUGAAUUUAAGCCCCAGUAAACGGCGGCCGUAACUAUAACGGUCCUAAGGUAGCGAAAUUCCUUGUCGGGUAAGUUCCGACCCGCACGAAAGGCGUAAUGAUUUGGGCACUGUCUCAACAGCCCGCCCGGCGAAAUUGUAGUACCGGUGAAGAUGCCGGUUACCCGCGACAAGACGGAAAGACCCCAUGGAGCUUUACUGUAGCCUAAUAUUGGGUUUCGAUGUUGCAUGCACAGGAUAGAUGGGACACUGGGAAACAAUCGCUUUGGCGGUUGCGGAGUGGCCGUUGGGAUACCAUCCUUGCGAUAUUGGAAUUCUAACCUGCGGCUCUGAAUCGAGUCGGGGGACAUUGUUAGGUGGGCAGUUUGACUGGGGCGGUCGCCUCCUAAAGAGUAACGGAGGCGUUCAAAGGUUCGCUCAGCUUGAACGGAAAUCAAGCAAAAGAGUGCAAACGCAGAAGCGAGCCUAACUGCGAGACUGACGGGUCGAGCAGUAACGAAAGUUGGAGUUAGUGAUCCGGUGGUAUGUGAGUGGAAAUGCCAUCGCUCAACGGAUAAAAGUUACCCUGGGGAUAACAGGCUGAUCUCCCCCAAGAGUCCACAUCGACGGGGAGGUUUGGCACCUCGAUGUCGGCUCAUCGCAUCCUGGGGCUGUAGUAGGUCCCAAGGGUUGGGCUGUUCGCCCAUUAAAGCGGUACGCGAGCUGGGUUCAGAACGUCGUGAGACAGUUCGGUCCCUAUCCGGCGUGGGCGUAGGAUAUUUGAGAGGAGCUGUCCUUAGUACGAGAGGACCGGGAUGGACUGGCCGCUGGUGUAUCUGUUGCAUACCAAGUGCAUGGCAGAGUAGCCAAGCCGGG
rnacentral:rRNA from 1 species